GACGAACGCUGGCGGCGUACUUAACACAUGCAAGUCGAACGGUGAAGCGCCUUCCUUUUUGGUGGGUGUGGAUGAGUGGCGAACGGGUGAGUAACACGUGAGUAACCUGCCCCCUUCUUCUGGAUAACCGCAUGAAAGUGUGGCUAAUACGGGAUAUUCUGGGUCUGUCGCAUGAUGGGUCUGGGAAAGAUAUUGUUUCGGUGGGGGAUGGGCUCGCGGCCUAUCAGCUUGUUGGUGGGGUGAUGGCCUACCAAGGCGGUGACGGGUAGCCGGCCUGAGAGGGUGGACGGUCACACUGGGACUGAGACACGGCCCAGACUCCUACGAGAGGCAGCAGUGGGGAAUAUUGCACAAUGGGCGCAAGCCUGAUGCAGCGACGCCGCGUGAGGGAUGGAGGCCUUCGGGUUGUGAACCUCUUUCGCCAGUGAAGCAGGCCUGCCUCGUUUGUGGGUGGGUUGACGGUAGCUGGAUAAGAAGCGCCGGCUAACUACGUG
rnacentral:rRNA from 1 species